UUCCCCUUCUCCAUGCUUCACUGGUGCUUCCAGGGAUCACCUGCCAAGACAACUACAGAUCUUUGUCUCAGCAUGCUUCUGGGAGAACCCAAACUAAGGCAUCCUUCUAAGUCCUCAUCACCACUCACCUGUGGGGAAGUGUUGCAACACAAGUGCUCCAAUCUACACAGGCUGGGAGAUAACAAACAAAGAUGCUAAGCAAUUUUCUCAACAAAACAUAGCCAUAACUGAGGUUAAAGUCCAUGCUAGUAUGACUUCCAAUUGGAAGAGACCUACCAUGUAUGCUAAGAUACCAUGAACAGAGAAAAACAACUGUGGCUUCAUAUAUGAAAUCUGAACUACAAACCAUAAGGGAAGAUGUUUUGAACUAAAGGUACUGAUUUCUAACCAAGCUGGUUUUCACAUGAUCAACAUUAUACAAGAUGAAUUUAG